rnacentral:rRNA from 1 species
AGUGAACGCUGGCGGUAGGCCUAACACAUGCCAGUCGAACGGCAGCACAGUAAAAGCUUGCUCUUACGGGUGGCGAGUGGCGGACGGGUGAGGAAUACAUCGGAAUCUACUUUUUCGUGGGGGAUAACGUAGGGAAACUUACGCUAAUACCGCAUACGACCUACGGGUGAAAGCAGGGGAUCUUCGGACCUUGCCCGAUUGAAUGAGCCGAUGUCGGAUUAGCUAGUUGGCGGGGUAAAGGCCCACCAAGGCGACGAUCCGUAGCUGGUCUGAGAGGAUGAUCAGCCACACUGGAACUGAGACACGGUCCAGACUCCUACGGGAGGCAGCAGUGGGGAAUAUUGGACAAUGGGCGCAAGCCUGAUCCAGCCAUACCGCGUGGGUGAAGAAGGCCUUCGGGUUGUAAAGCCCUUUUGUUGGGAAAGAAAAGCAGCAGGUUAAUACCCCGCUGUUCUGACGGUACCCAAAGAAUAAGCACCGGCUAACUUCGUG